UACGGGGGGAGCAAGCGUUGUUCGGAUUUACUGGGCGUAAAGGGCGCGUAGGCGGCGUGACAAGUCACUUGUGAAAUCUCCGGGCUUAACUCGGAGCGGUCAAGUGAUACUGUCGUGCUAGAGUGCGGAAGGGGCUACUGGAAUUCUCGGUGUAGCGGUGAAAUGCGUAGAUAUCGAGAGGAACACCGGUGGCGAAGGCGCUCUGCUAGGCCGCAACUGACACUGAGGGACGAAAGCUAGGGGAGCGAAUGGG
rnacentral:rRNA from 1 species